rnacentral:rRNA from 1 species
AUUGAACGCUGGCGGCAGGCCUAACACAUGCAAGUCGAACGAGUUGCGGACGGGUGAGUAAUGUCUGGGAAACUGCCCGGUGGCGGGGGAUAACUACUGGAAACGGUAGCUAAUCCCGCAUACCAUCGGAUGUGCCCAGAUGGGAGUAGAUAGUAGGUGGGGUAACGGCUCACCUAGGCUAAGAUCCCUAGCUGGUCUGAGAGGAUGACCAGGCACAGUGGAACUGAGACAGGGGCCAGACUCCUACGGGAGGCAGCAGUGGGGAAGAUUUCACAAUGGGCUCAAGCCUGAUGCAGCCAUGCCGCGUGUAUGAAGAAGGCCUUCGGGUUGUAAAGUACUUUCAGCGAGGAGGCGUUACUCGCAGAAGAAGCACCGGCUAACUCCGUGCCAGCAGCCGCGGUAAUUC